AGAAAAGGGAAAGUAACAGAGACGUGACCGAUCACCCAAGCGGCUAACGAGCCAAUCAGUGGUGAAGAGGAUAAAAGUAAAAUAAGUUAAAUGUGCCUUGAUUAGUGACUCGGUUCAGCUGUGAUCUGGUCUUCAACCCCAUCCCUCACUACCCGUUACCUUUUAUGUAGGCCAACAAUUUUUUUUCUUCACUUUCCAGACGGUGAAAGUCCCAACUGAACAGCAGGAAAAGGAAGACAACGAGAAUGACUCACAGAGCCAAAGUCAUGAAUCUGAUGACGUCAUCUACCAGGUCAUCCCUCGCCAAGCACAGGGAGGCACCUAGACAUGGUAUGACAGACAAAGCAGUAUGGCAGAAGAGUUUUCUACACCCAACAUGCAGCCCCUUAAUACCAAUGUGCUCUUGUGCAGGGCUUCUUCCUGGAAGGUGCACGCUGGGAUCGUGAACAACAUUGCUUGGCGGAGAUGUCAGCCAAGCAGCUACAUGACCAGUUACCUAUCAUCCUUUUCCAACCUGCUGCCCUCCCAGACAUGUCACACCAUGAGGGUAUGUGCCCCCAACACACCUUCUCUUUACUCAUUCCUUUACCUUGCCCUACAUGUUCAAUUUAAUUUUCUUUAUCACUGAGUCAGACCAGGUAUUCUCAUCAAGGUGAUUUAACCAUAUCAUUGGUUAAGAUUUUAUGGGUACCUGAAAAUUGCUCCAUGUCAAAAGUAAUGAUAUGUCAGAAUACUAUUUACAAAAUGAAAUUUGGUUUAUGUACUUUAUAAUAAAACCUAGAUUUCAAACUAUUUGAAACUAUUGAAUGGAUAUAACCUAGAAUACAGUAGACAAUUUUUUUCUGCAAAUUGUUAAAUGACUGGAUUAUUUUUAUACACCAGUUAUUCCUGUUCUCAGUGGAUUUAAAUGUAAAUUAAGUGGUAUACGUAUAUGUUUUAGUUUAUAUCGGCAAAUAUAUCUUGGUGACAACUUUA